CGGGAUGUACGUCAGUGGUGAGACGGCCUCACCGGGAGCGAGGAGGCCGUAGGUUCAAAUCCUGCCAUCCCGA
rnacentral:tRNA from 1 species